rnacentral:lncRNA from 1 species
UUCUCGUUCCCCUUCUCUCACGUUUUCUCUUCUCCCAUCCAUCUUCUGACUCUUCAAUGGUUUCAAUGGGUUUUGAUUUUAUCGUUCUCCACAAGAGUUUUCUUCAACAUAUUCUAAAGUUGAAGAGUGUGUACGGAGGUCGAGGUGAAUGAAAACUUUUGUUAAUUUUGCAAUUGUGGUGAACGGAACACAUUGGAAAUUGGGGUGGUGCUGUUCAGGUUUUCUGAAGGGGGUAAUAUUAACUACCAAAGUGCUUGAUACAAUACGGAGAGACGUUCUGCAAAGAACACCUGGAUUUCCAACUGAGGUAUUAAAAUUUUGUUUUUGUAAUGAUUAAUAAUAUUGAUUAGCGCUUAAAAGCUACUCUUUAGUUUUUUUUUCAGAUUCAAAAGCUACCAUUUUAUAAUGAAAAAUCAUAAUUCUGUAAACACUUUAGAUUUUAUAAUGAAAAUGCAUUUUAAGUUUAAUAACAAAAAUAAAUACAGAUGAAGAAAAUGUAACCGUUAGUUUACAGAAGAAAAACAAGAAAUACUUUUUGAGACACUUCUGUGUUUCUGUCAGAAAUCGUCACAUUUCGGGGGGAGUAUCACAAACUCGCCGCGACACUUCUGUCGCUCCGGCCGGAAGUCGUCGAAUAUGAGCACGGUAAAUCUGUCGUUUUGGCCAGAUUUACCAAGGACUUAUUCGAGCAAAAGAGGGAUAACAUGAAAGGUAACAUCGCACGGUAAGUUCAAUUAGUCAAUAAAAUAUGUGUGUUUAGACUGAUUUAGUUAUUUUGCAGGAUAUUUUCUUUUUUGCAGGUAUGAUUCUGUCGCUUUGGUCAGAAUCAAAUCUAUUUUGUCACUUUGGCCCUGAUAGAUCAAGGAUCAUUUUGUCGCUUUGGCCUUAAUGAUCCUAACUCAUCAUUCCUCUUAUUUGCAUUGAUGGGUUAACUGUCGUUGCGGACAUAAAAGUCGCUCUUGAUCGAAGUUGGAUUAUAAAUAUUAGUUCUAUCGCUUUGGCUAGAACUAGAUUUUGUCGCUUUGGCCAGAAUCAUGUCCAUUUUGUCACUUUGGCCUUAAUAGACCAAGAAUUAUUUUGUCCCUUUGGCCUUAAUAAUUCUCUCAUCUUGUCGCUUUGGCCUUGAUGCACAGCCAAAGUCGCUCUUGAUCAGGGUUGGACUAUAAACACGUAGUUAUGUGAUCUAGAACUAGAUUCUGUCCCUUCAGCCAGAAUCAGGUCCAUUUUGUCACUUUGGCCUUAAUGGAUCCGUAAUCAUUGUGUCGAUGUGGCUACAAUGAUUUUAUCCCAUCUUUUCUCUUUGGCCUUGAUGCGGAUCACACACAAUCUUGCUUUGAGGGGAUACUGGCGAUAUCCUCAUAUUUCUUAUACUCUCUUCAGGGAGGAGUACUGGUGAGACAUGCCUGAUUACGUCAAUCACUCCCAG